GAGGCUGGUCGUCUAAUGUGCCUCUGGAGACGUGUGCCUCUGGUUUCGUUAGCCGAUAAGCGACUCAGGGAGCACAUUUGUCGCAACGAUUGCGUGCGGAGGGCCACACGGUCCAAUACACCGAUCCGUGACG